CUUCUUUGAUGACCUCCAUUUUGAGCCAUCGUGUCUGGGCCACUGACACUCUGUGAUGGAACUGAGCAUCUUCGCAG